AGCCAUGCGGUAAGCACACAGCGAACUAUUCUUUCGCCUUUUACUAAAGAAUACCGUGUGCCUGCCGCCUAUAAUGGCAUACACUCAUUUUUGUAAGGGUCCCUCCUUUACUGGAGGAC